GUUUCUGAGUGAGGGAGAGAGGAGUCAUCAUCCAGGUAAAGUGACGUGGAUCAGUGGAUACACUUGUCUCCCCUUUAAAGGAGAUACUCUUAGAGAGAGACGAUCCGAGUCAUCCUUAAAUAUGGGCAGGAUAUCAGUCUUGGACUGUCUAACCUGCAGCACUGAAUAACCACCACACAUGAGCAUGUUCCUGCAGCAGCUUUGCUUUUGUGUUAAAUGUCAAAUAGCUGGAGAGGAAAUUACACCAGUGUACUGAGAUGUUUCACCAACACGUGCCAGACGCUGUUCCUUCAUGGUGACAUCACCAGAAACAGCCCCGCCCACCUCAGGACUUCGCCAUUAAUCAUGAUGAUUAUAAUGAUGACAGCGAGCGGAACUAAGACUGUAAAAAUCCAUGACCAGAAUGUUUAGAUGCUUUCUAAUUAUUAAUGAAUACUGAGAGCCUCUUUCUGAGUUUUGUCUGUUUUGGGUUUUUUUUACUUCAUUUGUUACUAACAAAGUUCACCAAACUUCACACAGUUUAUAUUCUGUAUGUUUCCAUCUUUACCAGCCACACUCUAACUGCAUUUAAGAAAACAAACCAUAGAAAUCGUUGCUUUUCUCUUUUGCAAUUGAUGAUUAUUCAGUGAAUAUACUGCGCUGCUUCCUUUUAUUGCGUCACACAUUGCUUUAAGUUUUUCAGUGUCCAAUUAUUUGUUUGAAUUCUCUGUAUGUUUGACCCUGUAGACUGUUUAAUGGACUGCUUGUCUUCCUGUUUGUAACCGACGCCUGUUUUUGACUAAAGAUUUGGAUUUCUGACUUUAACACA